CUGCUGUGCUGGCCGGGAGGCAAAUUCCUCCCCAGGGCCCGUGGAGUCGGCUCCGGUGCCCGGCACAGCACACGGUGCCUGCUCCUCACUCUGCCUGCUCCUCACUGUGCCUGCUUCUCAUUGUACCUGCUCCUCACUCUGCCUGCUCCUCACUGUCCCUGCUCCUCACUGUGCCUGCUCCUCACUGUGCCUGCUCCUCACUGUCCCUGCUCCUCACUGUCCCUGCUCCUCACUGUGCCUGCUCCUCACUCUGCCUGCUCCUCACUCUGCCUGCUCCUCACUGUGCCUGCUCCUCACUCUGCCUGCUCCUCACUGUCCCUGCUCCUCACUGUGCCUGCUCCUCACUCUGCCUGCUCCUCACGGUGCCUGCUUCUCAUUGUACCUGCUCCUCACUGUCCCUGCUCCUCACUCUGCCUGCUCCUCACUCUGCCUGCUCCUCACUGUCCCUGCUCCUCACUGUGCCUGCUCCUCACUGUGCCUGCUCCUCACUGUGCCUGCUCCUCACUGUGCCCCGCUCUCCCUGCUGAUGGGGAGCCCUGGCCCUGGGGAAUCCCUCCAAACCAUGCUCCUCCCUGCAUCUGGGAAAGCCAGCGUGGGAUGAGGGCCCACGGGCUGGGAACAGGCCGUCACCUCCGGGGGACACUGAGGCACAGCGAGGGACACUGACCCCAGAGCCACGUGGGGCUCCAGGGCUCGUGACUCCCGGGGUGACACAGGGAACGGAGGCUGUGCCUUCCCACGGGAAACAGGAGCACUCGGGGCAGGCAGUGUCCAGGUGGACCCACAGGCACCAUGAGGAAGAAUCCCAACAAGGAGCAGACGGUUUCCAGAUCCCACCAUCCAGCCGUGUGUUCCGUGGUUGUGCUCGUUCCCUGGCUGCCCCAUCCCGCCUCUCCCUGCACCCCACCCUGCCAGCCCCUCCAAGGGCAGCUGGAGGUGAGGGGUACCCUCCCCUUCUGUCCUCUUCCCUGCAUCCCCUCAGGUGUUCCUCACCCACAACCCACGUCAUUCCCGGAUUCCCGAUCCCCUCCAACACCCCCAUCCUUACCCAUCCAUAACCAUUGCUUCUCCCCUCGCUCCUCGUGCACAGCACAGAUCCUCUCCCUGCUGUCACAGUGAUGCUCAUCCCUCCCCAGCCCCCUUUCCCUCCCUCCCAGUCCCACGGGAAGCUCGUGCCCAGCCUCUGCCUGUGCCAGGAUAUCCCACCUUUCCAGGCGUUUCCUUGGACAUCAGCAUCUCCCCUCUGCUCAGCUGAGCUCCUGCUCCACCAGCACAUUGCUCUGCCCCACCCCACCCUCUUUUACUGCUGUGUCCAUGGUUUUAGCUGUCCCACAGCUCCGUGCUGGGAGAGGAAUGGCACAGACCAAACCCCGACGGGGCCGGGGAGCCGCUGUCUCCGCUUCCCGUGACUCCCGGGAUCCACUGCCGGCUCCCACCACUGCUCCUCAUUUUUUAAUCUCCCCGAGUGAGCCGAGAAUUAAUUAUUUAGCAGCUCACAGGACACAUCAGGAACACCCAAUCCACGCGGAGCUGCGGCUCUGGCUCCCACCUGCCCCGGGAGAGCCCCGGGAGAGGGCCAGGAGAGGGCUGGGAGAGCCCCGGGAGAGCUGUGGCUGCAUCCCUGCUGUGCCACACACUUCAUAUUGCCCGGUGAUUAAUGGCUUCGUGUGCUCUCCCCCGAGGAACCGGGAGCGUUGGCUCCUGGCUGAAUCCCUCUCCAGAAGAAAUCGGUUCCUGUGGGAAGCAACACGGAGCCACGGCCAGAGGGGAGGGUGGGGGGAAUGCUGGGGUUCCCUGGGGAGAGAUCCCUGCUCCAUGCCCAGUGCCAGGGGAUGGUGAUGGGACCAGCCCAACCACAGCGGUGCCAGUUCUUCUCCGAGGGGAUGGAAACGGAGCUGGGGAGUGACAACCCUGGGGGGUCUCAUCCAAAGUCCCACUGACACCCUGGGCAGCUCUUGGGGCAGGAGAGGCUGGGAGCUGUCACCCCAUGUGCACCCCCAUGGCUGGGGGGACCCACAGUGGGGACAGGGAUGGGGAUGGGGAUGGGGCAGGCCCUGGAGCAGCCCAGACACCUCCACCAAACACCCCGGGGUGUCCCAUCUGCUGCGGAGCGUGUCUGGGAUGGCAGCAGGACGUGCUGCACUCCUGGCCUGGCAGAGCUGGGGAGGUGUCUGGAGAGGGUGAGGAGGGGGGACCGGGCACCCACCACCCCUGGGGGACGCUCAGAGGGGACCCUGUGGAAGCAGGGACCGAUCCCCACCGUGUCCACGCCGGGAGAUCGCAGGCACCGGCAAGAGCCUUAACUUUAAAAAAAAAAAUGGUUUAUUUAUUAUUUCAA